GACAGAGGCCUCAAGCGUUAGGCGGAAUCACUGGGCUUAAAGCGUGUGUAGGCGGAUCGUUAAGUGUCUUGUGAAAUCCCACGGCUCACCCGUGGAACUGCUGGGCAUACUGGCGAUCUUGGGCCAACUAGGGGCAACUGGAACAAGCGGUGGAGCGGUGAAAUGCGUAGAUAUCAUUUGGAACGCCAAUGGUGAAAACAGGUAGCUGGGGGUGUGCUGACACUGAGACACGAAAGCCAGGGGAGCAAACGGG
rnacentral:rRNA from 1 species